rnacentral:rRNA from 1 species
CUUUGACGUUAGCGGCGGACGGGUGAGUAACACGUGGGUAACCUACCUAUAAGACUGGGAUAACUUCGGGAAACCGGAGCUAAUACCGGAUAAUAUUUCGAACCGCAUGGUUCGAUAGUGAAAGAUGGUUUUGCUAUCACUUAUAGAUGGACCCGCGCCGUAUUAGCUAGUUGGUAAGGUAACGGCUUACCAAGGCGACGAUACGUAGCCGACCUGAGAGGGUGAUCGGCCACACUGGAACUGAGACACGGUCCAGACUCCUACGGGAGGCAGCAGUAGGGAAUCUUCCGCAAUGGGCGAAAGCCUGACGGAGCAACGCCGCGUGAGUGAUGAAGGUCUUCGGAUCGUAAAACUCUGUUAUUAGGGAAGAACAUACGUGUAAGUAACUGUGCACGUCUUGACGGUACCUAAUCAGAAAGCCACGGCUAACUACGUGCCAGCAGCCGCGGUAAUACGUAGGUGGCAAGCGUUAUCCGGAAUUAUUGGGCGUAAAGCGCGCGUAGGCGGUUUUUUAAGUCUGAUGUGAAAGCCCACGGCUCAACCGUGGAGGGUCAUUGGAAACUGGAAAACUUGAGUGCAGAAGAGGAAAGUGGAAUUCCAUGUGUAGCGGUGAAAUGCGCAGAGAUAUGGAGGAACACCAGUGGCGAAGGCGACUUUCUGGUCUGUAACUGACGCUGAUGUGCGAAAGCGUGGGGAUCAAACAGGAUUAGAUACCCUGGUAGUCCACGCCGUAAACGAUGAGUGCUAAGUGUUAGGGGGUUUCCGCCCCUUAGUGCUGCAGCUAACGCAUUAAGCACUCCGCCUGGGGAGUAC